GUGCGAAUCACAUGACCAGACCUGCCAAAAGGGGAGAACAUGCCCAAAAAGGGGGCAUGUCUGUCUAAAGAAUUUGAAGGACAGCCUGGCAUGAAUGCAUGUCAGGCUGCCGCCAAUCCUGCAGGCUGUCCAACUAAGGGCAUACUAUGCAGACAGCACCCUGAGCUUGACAUAAAUGCAUCUAAUGAUGCGCUCACUCCGUGCUUUCUAAGGACUGUCCCCUAGUACUCGCUGGUCCUCUUGUCUCCUUGCCUUCUUACUAGCAGGCAGAAGUUCCUGGUAUAUAGUCUGAGACAGAGAAAAGGUGUAUGUAGUGAGUGUAGAAGAAAGGGGACAUGCCACAGUGCUAG